GACGAACGCUGGCGGCGUGCUUAAUACAUGCAAGUCAACGACUUUUAGAGUAGCAAUAUUCUAAAGGAAGUGGCGCACGGGUGAGUAACACGUAGGUAAUCUGCCUUCAGGACUGACACAACUCGUCGAAAGACGGGCUAAUAUCAGAUAAUGCAGCGGCUCCGCAUGGAGACAGUUGUUAAAGUACAAGCGCCUGAAGAUGAGCCUGCGGUCCAUUAGCUAGUUGGUAGAGUAACAGCCUACCAAGGCAACGAUGGAUAGCUGGUCUGAGAGGAUGAUCAGCCACACUGGAACUGAGACACGGUCCAGACUCCUACGGGAGGCAGCAGUAAGGAAUAUUGCUCAAUGGCCGAAGGCUGAAGCAGCAACGCCGCGUGAAGGAUGAAUGGCCUUUGGCCUGUAAACUU
rnacentral:rRNA from 1 species